rnacentral:rRNA from 1 species
GAAAACUGGGGAUACUCCGGAUAAGGCAUAUUUGCUGGACUGCUUUAUGUGUCAAAAGGAUUCGUCUGUCCAAGGAUGGGUGUGCGGCCUAUCAGGUAGUAGUGCGUGUAAUGUACGUACUAGCCAGCGACGAGUACGGGUUGUGAGAGCAAGAGCCCGGAGAUGGAUUCUGAGACAUGAAUCCAGGCCCUACGUGGCGCAGCAGGCGCGAAACCUUUCAAUGCGGGAAACCGUGAUAAGGGGACUCCGAGCGCCAGCAUCAUAUGCUGGCUGUCCGGAUGUGUAAAAUACAUCCGUUAGCAAGGGCCGGGCAAGACCGGUGCCCGCCGCCGCGGUAACACCGGCGGCCCGAGUGGUGAUCGUGAUUAUUGGGUCUAAAGGGUCCGUAGCCGGUUUGGUCAGUCCUCCGGGAAAUCUGAUAGCUCAACUAUUAGGCUUUCGGGGGAUACUGCCAGACUUGGAACCGGGAGAGGUAAGAGGUACUACAGGGGUAGGAGUGAAAUCUUGUAAUCCCUGUGGGACCACCUGUGGCGAAGGCGUCUUACCAGAACGGGUUCGACGGUGAGGGACGAAAGCUGGGGGCACGAACCGGAUUAGAUACCCGGGUAGUCCCAGCCGUAAACGAUGCUCGCUAGGUGUCAGGCAUGGCGCGACCGUGUCUGGUGCCGCAGGGAAGCCGUGAAGCGAGCCACCUGGGAAGUACGGCCGCAAGGCUGAAACUUAAAGGAAUUGGCGGGGGAGCAC